CCUACGGGAGGCAGCAGUGAGGAAUAUUGGUCAAUGGCCGGAAGGCUGAACCAGCCAAGCCGCGUGAGGGAGGAAGGCGCAGAGCGUCGCAGACCUCUUUUGCCGGGGGACAAAAGGCCGGACGGGUCCGGUUCUGAGGGUACCCGGAGAAAAAGCAUCGGCUAACUCCGUGCCAGCAGCCGCGGUAAUACGGAGGAUGCGAGCGUUAUCCGGAUUCAUUGGGUUUAAAGGGAGCGUAGACGGCCAUGCAAGCCAGGGGUGAAAGCCCGGGGCCCAACCCCGGGACUGCCCUUGGAACUGCAUGGCGGGAGUGCGGGAGGGGCAGGCGGAAUUCGUGGUGUAGCGGUGAAAUGCGUAGAUAUCAGGCGGAACACCGGCGGCGAAGGCGGCCUGCUGGACCGCGACUGACGUUGAGGCUCGAAAGCGUGGGGAGCGAACAGGAUUAGAUACCCUUGUAGUC
rnacentral:rRNA from 1 species